ACCCAUACAGCUGAGGUGAGAUCCACAGAGACACGUACCAACAUUACUGCCCCACACUACUUCAUUUAUCAUAAAUUAAGUACUAAAAACAAAGAGGCAGUAAAACUGCUGAGCCACAAUAAAUCACCACCAAGUGCAGGAGGUUCCUGAAGAAGCUGAGUUUUAUAAAGUCAUUUUCUGUGAGAGGUCUGAACGCUGAGGUGCUCAACGUGAGCGAGCUGCAGCUGGGCUGCACACGAGCCUUUAACUCAGGACGGACAGGCAGGAAGCGAGUCUAAAACUCCAGCCUGUACGUUCAGGACUGAUUCUGGAGGACGUCGCGCAACUUCAGGUACUGUAUUUCUAAACAGCCCUGAGUCACAUGACCUCCUCUCCAGCGACUACACAAACAUCCUGCAGUAGGUGUGAUGUCAUUUCCUCUUCACUGGCGCAGGUUUGUUCAGGUUGACUCAUCUCAGGAACUCCAGUAAACAAGCGUUUCUCAUGUAAAGAACCUGCUCUGCUGUUUCCACGUUCCCACAGGCAGAGAUGAUUCAACAGCUGAUUAAUCUCAUGGAAAGUUGAAUUACUGAAAUGUUGCAAAGUGACCUGCAGAGAGAGCGAAGGCGGAAAGCAGUGGGCCGACACUAACUCUGCUGUCAGCACUCCCCCGUCAGCCCAGUAGAGGAGAAACAGUCCAGCAUCGCCACCAUGUGUCCAAGAUGGAUCAUAGCAGAGACCCACCGGACUGAUGGGGAGCCGCUCAACCACCAAAUCACAUGAGAUUCACCAAACCUGAGAUGACAGCGGAGAUCUGCUGAGCUAAUCAGUCAUUUUAGUGACCUCUGAUUGGGUGAACCGCCAACACGAAUAACCCACAUCUUUACCAGCUGUUUUAAAAAGGACUGAGCACCGCCUGCUGUGGCCCCAAGAAUACAUUUGACUUCUCAGCAGCGUCAGCGGCCCUCGAUGCCUCCAGAUCUACAGAUCCAGCAGCAGGAGGCUCUGGGACACGUUUCUUCUCUGAUCUCAGGAUUCACUUCCAGAUCUCAAUAUGUUCACCAAACCAUCUAUAACCCAUAAGCAGCAUUUAAAGCACAUUUGCAGUUUCCCAGUAGCGUGCCCUGAAUGUAUCUGUGCAUGUACUUAGAAAUAUAGCUAAAAUUGGAUCUAUGUUAACUUUUAAGGACACCGAGACCAUUUUACAGGCCUUCAUCUCAUCACGCCUGGAUUAU